rnacentral:rRNA from 1 species
GUGGGGAAUUUUGGACAAUGGGCGCAAGCCUGAUCCAGCAAUGCCGCGUGCAGGAAGAAGGCCUUCGGGUUGUAAACUGCUUUUGUCAGGGAAGAAAUCUUCUGGGCUAAUACCCCGGGAGGAUGACGGUACCUGAAGAAUAAGCACCGGCUAACUACGUGCCAGCAGCCGCGGUAAUACGUAGGGUGCGAGCGUUAAUCGGAAUUACUGGGCGUAAAGCGUGCGCAGGCGGCUUUGCAAGACAGAUGUGAAAUCCCCGGGCUCAACCUGGGAACUGCCAUUGUGACUUGAAGGCUAGAGUGCGGCAGAGGGGGAUGGAAUUCCGCGUGUAGCAGUGAAAUGCGUAGAUAUGCGGAGGAACACCGAUGGCGAAGGCAAUCCCCUGGGCCUGCACUGACGCUCAUGCACGAAAGCGUGGGGAGCAAACAGGAUUAGAAACCCUAGUAGUCC